AAGGGGGGAUAGAAAUCAGUAAGUACUGCUAAUACUUAUGUACCGGGGUUAAAAUCCCCGGCUUCCUUA
rnacentral:tRNA from 1 species